CGGGUGAGUAACGCGUAUGCAACCUACCUAUUGCAGGAAGAUAGCCCGAGGAAACUCGGAUUAAUAUUCCAUAAUAUCAUUUUUACACAUGUAUUAAUGAUUAAAGCUACGGCGGCAAUAGAUGGGCAUGCGUACCAUUAGCUAGUUGGUGAGGUAACGGCUCACCAAGGUUACGAUGGUUAGGGGGUCUUAAAGGAUGAUCCCCCACACUGGUACUGAGACACGGACCAGACUCCUACGGGAGGCAGCAGUGAGGAAUAUUGGGCAAUGGACGCAAGUCUGACCCAGCCAUGCCGCGUGCAGGAUGACUGCUCUAGUAGUUGUAAACUGCUUUUCUAUUUCAUGAACCCCUCUGACGUGUCAGGGGCUGACAGUAGAAUAGGAAUAAGCAUCGGCUAACUCCGUGCCAGCAGCCGCGGUAAUACGGAGGAUGCAAGCGUUAUCCGGAUUUACUAGGUUUAAAGGGUGCGUAGGCGGGGUAUCAAGUCAGUGGUGAAAUCCUGCAGCUCAACUGUAGAACUGCCAUUGAAACUGAUAUUCUUGAGUAUAGUUGAGGUAGGCGGAAUGUGUUAAGUAGCGGUGAAAUGCAUAGAGAUAACACAGAACACCGAUUGCGAAGGCAGCUUACUAAACUAUUACUGACGCUGAGGUACGAAAGCGUGGGGAGCGAACAGGAUUAGAUACCCUGGUAGUCCACGCCGUAAACGUUGAUCACUAGUUGUUUGCGAUACAUUGUGAGCGACUGAACAAAAGCAUUAAGUGAUCCACCUGGGGAGUACGUUGGCAACGAUGAAACUCAAAGGAAUUGACGGGGGCCCGCACAAGCGGAGGAACAUGUGGUUUAAUUCGAUGAUACGCGAGGAACCUUACCUGGGCUUAAAUGUAAGACGACUAACAGGGAAACUUGUUAUCUUUCGAGCGUCCUACAAGGUGCUGCAUGGUUGUCGUCAGCUCGUGCCGUGAGGUGUCGGGUUAAGUCCCAUAUCGAGCCCAACCAUUAUGGUUAGUUGCCAGUGGGUAAUGCCGGGGAGUCUAGUGAAACUGCCAUCGUAAGAUGUGA
rnacentral:rRNA from 1 species